CCUACGGGGGGCAGCAGUGGGGAAUAUUGCACAAUGGGGGAAACCCUGAUGCAGCGACGCCGCGUGAGGGAAGAAGUAUUUCGGUAUGUAAACUUCUAUCAGCAGGGAAGAAAAUGACGGUACCUGACUAAGAAGCCCCGGCUAACUACGUGCCAGCAGCCGCGGUAAUACGUAGGGGGCAAGCGUUAUCCGGAUUUACUGGGUGUAAAGGGAGCGUAGGCGGUUUAGCAAGUCAGAAGUGAAAGCCCGGGGCUCAACUCCGGGACUGCUUUUGAAACUGUUGAACUAGAGUGCAGGAGAGGUAAGUGGAAUUCCUAGUGUAGCGGUGAAAUGCGUAGAUAUUAGGAGGAACACCAGUGGCGAAGGCGGCUUACUGGACUGUAAAUGACGCUGAGGCUCGAAAGCGUGGGGAGCAAACAGGAUUAGAUACCCGAGUAGUC
rnacentral:rRNA from 1 species